GGCUACGUGUGUGGCAGCUCAAACCGAUUGGGAUAUCGUCGAGAACAACGUCUUCAUCUCGGCAAAAGAAACAGCGAGGAAAACUGAUCCUGACGAUAUUACAGUUUUGAUGAAUGAGGAUGGCUCAUUCUCUGACCUUGUAGCAAGAUACGGAACAGUUGAAGACCAGUCCUUCGCCUUCAGGGAGCACGCAGAGAGGCUGGGGGCUCUCGCCUACCACCAUGUUACCAAUAACGACCGGGAUAUGUCGGGACAUAUCACAAAAUCAUUCAACUUCCUCGCUUAUAAGGCGCCUGUUAACCAAGACAAGAAUCAGUGGGCCCAGUACAUGGGCAUCCCGCUCGAUAUGUGGUCGCCUUUAGUACUUUCCAAGGGCAUCAUCAGUAAGGUCCUGCAAGAGGCAAUACUUGACAGGUACUGGAUGAACACUCCUGCGGGACCGGUGUGGAACCUGACUCAGUUUACGGGAGCCAUGUCAGGCGCAAAUCUGGGAUCCCGGGCCUUAACAACCGAGGUACGCGCUACAUUGAGUGAGGGAGAAAAGCGCAACGAUAUCCAUUCAUCCGUCAUGGAGAGACUGCACCAAGACCUCGCCGAUAUGAACCCUUAUGGCGAUAAUGGCUUGAGGCCUGAUGGUUGCAUCCACCAGCACAACAAAGAGGUACAGGAUAGCAAUGAACACUUCGCACAAAUACUUCACAUGAUCUACAACGGCAGCUAUGAAAGAGAGAUG